rnacentral:rRNA from 1 species
AAUGAACGCUGGCGGCAGGCCUAACACAUGCAAGUCGAACGAGUGGCGGACGGGUGAGUAAUGCCUGGAAACCUGCCUGAUGGCGGGGCAUAACUACUGGAAACGGUACCUAAUACCGCAUACCAUCGGUUGUGCCCAGAAGGGAUUAGCUAGUAGGUGGGGUAAAGGCUCACCUAGGCGUCGAUCCCUAGCUUGUCGGAGCGGAUGACCAGCCACACUGCAACUGAGACACGUUCCGGACUCCUACGUGAGGCAGCGGUGGGGUGUAUUGCACUAUGGGCGCGAGCCUUAUUCAACCAUGCCGCGUGUAUGGAGGAGGCCGUCGGGUUGUAAAGUACUUUCGGCGGGGGGUCGUUACCCGCAGAAGAAGCACCGGCUAACUCCGUGCCAGCAGCCGCGGUAAUUC